rnacentral:lncRNA from 1 species
AGUCCUCUGUUCAUUCUAGGGAUGCUGUUUAGUAUAACACAGUCAGCUGGGGUCCUUGGAUAGGGUGGUAAACUACAUAUUUAGAGUUAUAAAGUUUUGGGGUUUUUUUUCUAUUACUGUUCUUUGAAUCAUAGAUUCUUAAGAUUGGAAUUAAAUUCUAAUAUUAUCUAGUAUAACUCAUCCUUUAAUGCCUGUAGUCCCUCUACAGAAACCAAGCCAACAUAUGUGAAUAGAAUACUUAAACACAUGAAAUGGUAAUGACUAGGAGAUAGCCAAAGCAGAACUGGACAAUUUUAACUAUUAGAAAAUUAUUAUUAUUGUGUUAACUAAAAAGUUCAGUUGAAAAUAUUCCCAGCACAGGUACAGAAGCCUCUGAAGGUCAUGAGUCUAAGUAUUGUAGAAGAAAUGGCUAAAAAAAGAGUUAAAUGUGGAGUUCCUGUCAUGGCACAGUGGAAACAAAUCCGACUAGGAACCAUAAAGCUUGUGGGUUCGAUCCCUGGCCUUGCUCAGUGGGUUAAGGAUCCAGCAUUGCCAUGAGCUGUGGUGUAGAUCGCAGAUUGGUAGGGAUAACUGGAAGAAACCAAAACUGCCAAUAUUUCCCAGUGCACUAGGAUUUACUUCUUGCCAUCCAGCAUUGGUUAAGGAUUCUGACCAUGACAUGGGCAGAUAUCCCUGAUAAAGCAGGUCAACUGUGUCUUGACUAGAAUGACACUGUUAGACAUCUUAGCAUGUCCAAAAAAAUAAAUAAGCAAGCAAACAAAAAACUACACUUAAAUUUGCUUUUAAGCACUUUUACCUCCCUCUACUAAGAGAACACCAUGUCACUGAUAGGGACACUCCUCUACCUGGUCCUAUAAGGAUGAGACAUCUGAAACAAUCCUC